AAAAUAUAUAAAAAAUAAAUCUAAUGGAAAGAAUUUAAAAUUUAGAAAAUAUAGUUUUUUUUCCCGAUCCAUACGUCCUUCUACCUACAAUACAGUAGAUGCCAUCCUCUUGGAGGAUCAAAAUCCAUAAAGUUUAUUUUUAACAUACUUCCCUCUCCUGAGUUUGGGAUAAAAUCAGCAUGAUCUUACAAUGCAAUUGAGGUCUUCCUCAUUGGAAUGGAUGCUGGGCUUGUAAUAUUCUACAAUUUUUAUAUUUAUUUAGAUUAUUAGGAAAAUUUAAGAAUAUUUUGGACUUUUUUUAAUCUGGAAAUGCAAACUUUAAUUACAUUCUUAGAAAAUUGCCAUGCACAUAUUAUGCAGUACUGGUGAUAACCCAAAAUAUUGUUUCAGCCACAAUCUUAUGGGUGCACCAUGCCACCAUAUCCAGAGUCAAUACCAGAUCGGCUCAAUGCCGGUCACUUCCUAAUACAGUAGUCUUUGUGCCUUCGGAUACAUGAUGAAUAGGAUCUUGCAUGUUUGCCUUUGUGCUCCUAGGGCGUAGCGCAGACGAUGUGUACAUGACAUCUUUGGUAAUGGCCAGCGGUUGAUUCUCAAGAACUAACAUCCUGGUGUUUACUCCACCAUGCACCUAACACCUGUGUACUUGCAUUUACCUCCCUUCAUAUCCGUGCGACCGAUACUAGGGGGUCGUUAAUGUAGCGGAUCUACAUUUAUUGUAUGCUUCCCUUUGUAUUUUCAUGAUGAUUGAGUCCCUUUGGAGAUGUUGUGCUUCAAAGAUCCACUUGUUAUGAGCAUCUAGGGUUGGUAGACUGUACAAGUGAGUGUUAUCGUUCUUGCUUUAUUUCUCGAUGAUGUACCAUGAGUUUCUUUUGCCAUCCAUUUGACCGCACUAUUCAAUGUAGUCAUUUGCCUGCUGAUGCCCAUCCGUUCUCAUAAAUAAUUUCAUAUGGUAUUGUUGUAGCAAAAGGUGAUUACACUCACCCCAGGCGCCAUAGUCCGUCCCAAGGUUAUGUGAAGAGUGGUAAAUCACGGGAUCAGUUUAUAGCCGACCGUCAAUUGGCUAGAGGGUGAGAGGCAUUGUUGUACUCACAUCCAAAGAACUGGUGAUUAUGAAUUUCUAGCGCUUUCCCGCAUAAGGAUCACAGCCUAGCUGAUGCCCAUCCGUUCUCAUAAAUAAUUUCAUAUGGUAUUGUUGUAGCAAAAGGUGAUUACACUCACCCCAGGCGCCAUAGUCCGUCCCAAGGUUAUGUGAAGAGUGGUAAAUCACGGGGUCAGUUUAUAGCCGACCGUCAAAUGGCUAGAGGGUGAGAGGCAUUGUUGUACUCACAUCCAAAGAACUGGUGAUUAUGAAUUUUUAGCUCUUUCCCGCAUAAGGAUCACAGCCUAGCUAUUUCCAGGAACUGUAGGUUGUCCAAGAUGAGCAGUCGAUCUUGAACCCCCGGUCGGAGUAUGAACAAGUGUUUAGGAAUCAGCCGCAAGCUCCAUAUGUCUUUCAUAAAUGGUUUUCUCCUGCUCCUUGGCUUGUAUAAUCCAUAUGCUUUUGUUGUGUCAAAUUGUGCUCUGUGAGUCCAGCUUGUUUGUAGGUUGGUUGCUGCUUCUUAAUUCCCAACCUAAUAGCAUAGAAAAGUCUUGAUUUUGCCACUCUUUUUGAGUAGAGGUGAGUCUAUUUUCCUCGGUUCCCAGUCCAUUAUGACCUUCCCUUAAGUUAUAUGUUGUUGAUCCAUUGAAUCUAGAGUGUCCUUGGACUGGACGUUCCAUAGGAUUCUGGUAUUCCCUUAAGGUAUAUGUUGUUGAUGUUCCAUUGAAUCUAGAGGUGAGUCUUUCCAUGCCUCUAGCAGCUUUUUCGUUCCCCAUAGGAAAACCCUGUAUAUCCUUAUGAUCUUUGCUAUAACUAUAGCUGGGAUAGGAAAUAUAGACAUCCAGUAAUAUUCCACUCCUUGCAGGAUGGAUUGGAUUAGCUCAGCGAUGGUCGAAUAAGAUAGGGUCUUGCUAGUCCAAGUAUUUACAUGUGCAGCUCGCUUGUCAACUAGAGGAGCAUAAUGAGUCACCUUCAAUUUUGCAGCAGCUAGUGGUACUCCCAAGUAUUUGAAUGGCAUGGAGCCACGUAUGAUCUGUGUUAGCUCUUCUAUUUCUUCUGGUUCAAACCCUACAAUCCCAGUUGUCUAUAGAGAGGACUUCGGCACAUUGAUGUUCAAGUCUGCAAUCAUUCCAAAUUCCUGUAGACACUUUUGAAGUAUCUCGACAGACAUGAUAUCACCUUUGGACAUAAGCAAUAAAUCAUCUGGAUAAGCUAGGUGAGUUAUUUGGAGGUCUACGCAUUUGGAGUGGAAGCUGAAAUCUAUGUUCGUUGUCUGCAGCAUCAUCAAUGUAGAGAAGCAAUCUAAGCAGAUCACAAACAAUCUCAUCAAUUAGGGGUCGCCCUGACGUAGUCCCCUCUUCCCCUGAACAUAUCCAGGAACACUGCCAUUGAUUACUAGUGAGAAAGAAACUGUGGUUAUGCAUUCCAUUACCCACUCAGUGAAUUUCUCUGGGAAACCCAUACUGAUGUCUACCUAGUACGAAAAAACUCCCAGUUGAUGGAGUCAUAAGCUUUCCACAAGUCAACUUUGAGCAUACACCUCAAAAAAAUCCACUUCUGACUGUAUCGUCACUCUAGGUGAAUGUUACAGGGAUGCUCCUACCAGUUACAAAAGCUGCCUGUGCAUCUAUUAUGGAGUCACAGUUUCGAAAGUCGAUUUGCUAGAAUCUUAGCAAUUUUACUUGAUAGUAGACGUUGCAGCAAGCUAUGAAAUCCUCCACCUUUUGCGGGUUGCUCACUUGUGUUACAACUCAAUCUCUGUUUGAUUAGUUUGUUUCGGCAGAAUCUGAUACAAAGAAUUCCAGCACCGCCUUUGUGAAAUGAGUACCCACCAUUUCCCCUUUUGGCAUUAGAAUAUCAGCCUACUGAGUAUUGAUCAACCUUCCUGCUGCAACCGCUUCCUGCAAGCUUUGUGCCUGAUCAAUUUCAGUCCCCAGCAAAUUCUGGAAGUGGCCCACGAAUUCAGCAGCUACUUUUUGGUGAGAAUAGGUCAUGGAUCCAUCUUCCCUGAUACUUCCAUCACUUAGUAUCUAUCACUAUUAUGAGAGUAACCUAUCUUAAUCUUGCGUUUUCUGGUUGUUCAUGGAGUUGGGUUUGUUGUUCUAACAGCUCCUGGUUUGCAGCUUUGACCGUGGAUGUGUUAUGGUGAUAAUGUUCUUUGUUUAGUUGCUCGAGUGAGGCUUUUAAUGAUUUCAGUUUCUUACAUAAUGUAAACUGUUUUGAACCCUGCAUUGUUGCGCUGCCAUUUCUCUUAGCAAAAUUUGGAAUUCCAGAUGCCUA